UAGGGUUUGAUUCUGGCUCAGAUUGAACGCUGGCGGAUGCUUUACACAUGCAAGUCGAACGGCAGCAUGGAGAGCUUGCUCUCUAUGGCGAGUGGCGAACGGGUGAGUAAUAUAUCGGAACGUGCCUAGUAAUGGGGAAUAACUAGCUGAAAGGUUAGCUAAUGCCGCAUACGACCUACGGGUGAAAGCAGGGGAUCUUCGGACCUUGCGUUAUUAGAGCGGCCGAUAUCUGAUUAGCUUGUUGGUGGGUAAUGGCCUACCAAGGCGACGAUCAGUAGCUGGUCUGAGAGGACGAUCAGCCACACUGGAACUGAGACACGGUCCAGACUCCUACGGGAGGCAGCAGUGGGGAAUUUUGGACAAUGGGGGAAACCCUGAUCCAGCCAUUCCGCGUGAGUGAAGAAGGCCUUCGGGUUGUAAAGCUCUUUCGCAAGAGAAGAAAACUUGCUAUCUAAUAAAUAGUAAGCAUGACGGUAUCUUUGACAAGAAAGCACCGGCUAACUACGUGCCAGCAGCCCGCGGUAAUACA
rnacentral:rRNA from 1 species